UACAGAGGGUGCAAGCGUUGCUCGGAAUCAUUGGGCGUAAAGGGCAAGUAGGUGGUCUCAUUUGUCUGAUGUGAAAGCCUUGGGCUUAACCCAAGAAGUGCGUCAGAAACGGUGAGACUCGAGUUCUGGAGAGGGUCGUGGAAUUCCCGGUGUAGCGGUGAAAUGCGUAGAUAUACGGAGGAACACCUGCGGCGAAGGCGGGUUGCUGGGCCAACACUGACGCUGAGGCGCGAAAGCUAGGGUAGCAAACGGG
rnacentral:rRNA from 1 species